rnacentral:lncRNA from 1 species
UUGGUGUAGAUAUUAUCCUUGUCUACUUUUUUGAUAUAUAUAUCUCUAAUAAAAAAGAGAAGUCCAUUUAUUUGCCCUAAGUAGGGUAAAGAUAAAUCAGGAUUGCAUAUAGUCAUGGACUACCAUUUCUGGCGUAGGACUGAUAAAAGAGGUCAAGCAUAACACUCCCUGACCCCCAUCCUACUCUGUGGAAACCAUUAACCAAACUGCCUCUGUGGAGGCAAAAUACCUGCUGGCAGAGCCUCAAAUAUGUUUUAUUUACUGAGUGAUCAGCCUUUAAAUUUACAAAUUAGUAGAGUAACAUCUGUUAAUUAGCAUUGCAUUUGGUGAAGAAAAAGUGGUUUCCAUCUCUUGGAAAUUUGCAGUUUUCAUUCUACCAAACUAUGAUAUAACUCAGAGGAAAAGUAUCCUUCAUUUCAGCAGUCCUGCUAUCCAUAUAUGCUUAUCCAUAGUGAAUGACACUAUAAUUUUUUGAUGCAUUAUAAUUAUACAUAAUAGAUUAAUUAUGCUAUAUUUAUACAUACACAUAACAAUUUGAUCAAUCUCCUUCCCAGGCACCUUCCACUUUUCCUUCCCUCCUCCCAACCCCUGGUCAGCUUGCUUUAUUCUAGUGAUCUCCCCUCUAUUAUUAUUAUUAUCGUUAUUUUAAUACUGCAUUAUAGUUAUAUAUAAGUGAGAUUUAUUGUGGUAUAUUCAUACAUGGACAUAGCAUAAUUUAGUAGAUUUCAUUCCUCGGUACUUCCCCAUGCCUUCCCCUCCUUCCUCUCUCAAUCCCAUUCCUUUAAUCAAUUGGUCUCCUUCUAUUUUCAUGAGAUUCCUUUCUCCCUCUCUCCUUCUAUCUGUCCCUCUUCCUCUCUCCCCACUUCCUGUCUCACUUUCACACAAGAGAAAAACAUUCAACCUUUGACUUUCUGAGUCUGGCUUAUUUCACUUAAUAUGAUAUUCUCCCAGUUUCAACAAUUUAUCAUAAAUGACAUAAUUCAUUCUUUAUGACUGAAUAAAAUUCUUUUGUGUAUAUAUACUAUGUUUUCUUGAAACAUUGGUCUAUUGACAAGCACCUAGGUUGGUCCAUAACUUUGCUGUUAUGAAUUGUGAUGCUGUAAACACUGGUGUUGAGAGCCACAGUUUAGUCAGAAUGACGCCUGGCAUUUUGCUAGAGGGAAUGGUUGAAAGGUGACCCUGCUCCGGGAUUAGGGCGGCUCCAGGAUUAGGUCGGAUCCUCGGGCACCCACUACUUUGGAGUUCCCUUUGAGUUCUCAAGGGGUUCUUGUCACGCGGAGCCCGGUGGAGGAAGUAUGUAGAGUGCCGGUGAGAGUUCGGGAAUAAAGAGUUGCUAUUUGAACCUACAAGGCUUUGUGGCAGCUCGGUUAUUUUGUGCCCAGCCAGACUGAGGCAUUUGGUGGCCCGUACGGGGAAUGCCUGAAGCUUGGAGGUAAGUGAAAUUGCUCGCCCCUGAGGAAGAGCGUGAGAAUGGAUGACCAUUUCAAAAAACAAUGUGUUCUUGUUUUGAUUUAUUUUGUUUUUAUUUCAAGUUGCCUGUCCCUAGAACUUUCUCAGGCAAACUGGGGAAAAUGGUUGACUCAAAGUUUGAAGUUGUUCGCCCCUGAGGAAGAGAAAUUGUUAGAGGAAGGAGGCACACCAGUAAGACCAAGAACAAUUAGGGCAUAUGUUGAUACAAUACAAAAAUGUAGCCCAUGGCUUUUUAAAGAGGAGUUAUUAAAUAUAUCACAAUGGAACCAUCAUGGUAUCCUGUAGAAGGAUUUUUCUUCAAUAAGAAAGAGAUGGCUAGUUCUGUUUACUACACUUGUCUAAGAUCUUGGUUUUUACAGACAUCUGAUUAAUUUACAAAGCUAAAGUAUUGAAACAUCAACCACUAAAUAUAAAAUCAAGUACUCUUUACUUAUUAAGUUCCAUAAGGUAAUAUAUUUAAACAUUAUGUGUGUUUUCAUAAAUUGGUAAAUGGAAAAAAGGUUUAAUAUUGCUUUGUGUCUGUGUCUUUGCUUAAACAAGGUUACUAAGAGUUAAGAUUCUAUCAAGUGUAAUUUAUAUACAAAGAGUAUAAGAAGUUUCAGUUGGGUUUCAAUUAUAGUAUAGUACCAUAAAAAAACAUGAAAGUAUUUCAUCUUAUUAAAGUGGAGUAAUUUGUCUAAAUCAGAAAUUUUAUAAGGGUUGUUUCAGAAUGUGAAUUUAUAAAAAGGGUUAACAGCUAGAAAAGAGAUAUAAAAAGAUUCAAGAUGUGGAAAUAUAUUUUAAUAUAAAAGGUUAAAGGAAAAAGAAAUGUUUCUAGAUGAGAUAAUCUUUGUGUGGUAAAGUAAAAAGUUGUAAAAUGUCUAAGUAAGUUACAAAAGGCUUUAAAAGGUUAAAUUAAAGGUGGUUAAGAUGCCUUCAUGGCGGAGGAAAGAUUGUGUCAUUCGAAGCCUAGUUAAUCUUAAAAGCAUUACUUAAAAAAAACAUGAAAAUGAGAAGAUAAUAGGAUAAAAGAUAUUUGGAUAAAGAAGAUUAAAAAUUUGAAGUGAAA